rnacentral:lncRNA from 1 species
AACAGUAAUAAAAGCUGCCUCCCUUUCCAGUUAUGUGACACCGUGAUCCGCGUCUCCAAAUACCGAGGAAAACGGUAGCAUUGCGAAGGUAGGCAGUAUGACGUCAUCAGCCGGCGCCCCGGUGGGUGUCUGUCUGAGGAUGGAGAGCGGCUGAGCGCAGCGACUUUUGAAUGAAGAUUGAAGCGUCUCGGCAGUUCAUCUGCGAUUUGAAGAAAGCACACCUUCUUUAACCAGUGCCUGAGGAAGUUUGUCCCAGCAUGGAUUCCAUACCCAAUCCCGAGGAGGCGGGGUCUCGUCGAGGCUCCUCCCACUCCCCCAAGUCCCCAGGCUCCUCAUCCAAGAAGAAGAGCUCCAAGCCGUCUGGCCAGCCCCAGGGUAAGAGGACCGCUCUGCAGGAGGCGCGGAGGAAGGGAAGGAUGGACAGAAGCCGAGGAGAAGAGGAGAUGACCGCUCAGCUCAGAAACCUGGUACGAGAAGCUUACUGCAAGGAGUCAGUAUCGUCCUGUCCUUUUUUCCAUCCUGUGGGCUCCUUCUGCCAGGCACUUUGAGCUGUUCCGGGUUCUACUGCGACCUGCAGGCUUUUGUGUCUACA